GUCUAUGGCCAUACCACCCUGAACACUCCCAAUCUCGUCUGUCUCAGAAGCUAAGCAGGGUUGGGCCUGGUUCAUACAUGGAUGGGAUAAAGUACGACUCCAUUACAGUCAAGUUAGACU
rnacentral:rRNA from 1 species